GGCUAUAGCUCAAUGGCAGAGCACUUGCCUAGCAGGUGAGAGACCCUGGGUUCAAUCCCCAGUGCCA
rnacentral:tRNA from 1 species